rnacentral:lncRNA from 10 species
CAAACUCCUGGUUUCCACCUGCCUCGGCCUCCCAAAGCGUUGGGAUUACAGGAGUGAGUAACCAUGCCUGGCCACCUUGAUGAUACACUUGCUUAUUCUCUCCAGGCCAAUGACCUCACUCAAGCCUGAGCCUUCCCCUGGGGUCCAGACUCAGCUCCACACCCAUGCACUGGAUAUCCCUACUGACAUGGUGGUCAUGCCUUCAGACUUAGAGUGGCCAAAACUGGACUUGCUACUUUCACCCGCACCAGCUUCUCCUUCUCCAGUGUGGCCCAUCUCAGUAAGAUGGCACCACUUUCCACCCAGGCGUGCAAGCCUAAAACUCAGAGCCACCUUGGGCCCUUUUCCCUUUCUCUCAUCCUCCACAUAUCUCCUCCAUAGAUCUUGAAUUCAUAUCUUCUCUUCUUCUCCACUGCUGCUACCAUCAGUGCCUAAAUACCACCACAGUCUCCAGCUAACCCAUCUCCCUGCUUGAUUAUAGCUACCCUUCAAGCCCAUUCUCCAGCUGUGUACACUCUUGUCACACCAGUUAGGUUCCUCAUUCACAUCAUCCUCCCUCUGCACUCUGGCUGUUCCCCUGGCCUAGAAUACUUCAACCCCCAUUCUUUACUUGCAUCACAACUGCUCAUCCUUCAGGCCUCAGCUUGAUUUUCACUUCCUCCAAGAAGUGACCUCCCUGACCCUUGGACCAGGUCAGCCAACUUGGCACCUCCUAUUGCCCAACACAACUCUCUUGACAUUUGAUUCUUGUGACUUAAUUGUCUAUUUUUCCUAUUCAAGUGCAAGUUCCCGGAGGGCAGGGCCUCGGUCCUGUUCACCCUUGUGUUCUUAGCCUCCAGAAAAAAGGAGGAAUCCCCGUAUGUCUGUUAAAUGAGUAUGCGUGAGCAGUACACUCACUCAAUAAUUACCAACUUAGUGAUAUCCGUGCUAUUCAAUGACAGCAAACAGGUAAUUCUGAGUUUGUCUGCCAUCUGAGUCAAAGCAAUUUGCCCCCAUUUUUUUUUUUUU